rnacentral:rRNA from 1 species
ACCUUGCGGUCGUACUCCCCAGGCGGUGUGUUUAUCGGUUUCCUGCGACACUGAAAAUAAAUUUCCAACGUCUAACACACAUCGUUUACGGCAUGGACUACGAGGGUAUCUAAUCCUCUUCGCUACCCAUGCUUUCGUUCCUCAGUGUCAGUAAUGAUCCAGAAAGCUGCCUUCGCAAUUGGUAUUCUUUCUAAUAUCUACGAAUUUCACCUCUACACUAGAAAUUCUGCUUUCCUCUAUCAUACUCUAGCUGAAAAGUUUUGAUGGCAGUUCCAGAGUUAAGCUCUGGGAUUUCACCACCAACUUUUUCAACCACCUACGAACUCUUUAAGCCCAGUAAUUCCGAACUACGCUAGGUCCCUUCGUAUUACCGCGGCUGCUGGCACGAAGUUAGCCGGACCUUCUUAUUCGGGUACAGUCAUUUUCUUCCCCGACGAAAGAGCUUUACAACCCAAAGGCCUUCUUCACUCACGCGGCAUCGCUGCAUCAGAGUUUCCUCCAUUGUGCAAGAUUCCCCACUGCUGCCUCCCGUAGGAGUUUGGGCCGUGUCUCAGUCCCAAUGUGGCUGAUCAUCCUCUCAAAUCAGCUAUUGAUCAUAGUCUUGGUAGGCCAUUACCCUACCAACAAACUAAUCAAGUGCGGGCUCAUCCAAUGGUGCAUAAAGCUUUCUCCGUAAAGACUUAUCCGGUAUUAGCACAAGUUUCCUCGUGUUAUUCCAGGCCAAAGGGUAGAUACCCACAUGUUACUCACCCGUCUGCCACUAAGUAUUGCUACUUCGUUCGACUUGCAUGUGUUAGGCGUGCCGCCAGCGUACGUUCUGAGCCAGGAUCAAACUCU